CUUACUGUCAUCUUGCUUUUCAUUAUUUUGUGUAAUGCCUUCUUUAAAUUUGCUUCAUCCACCACACCUGAAAGCACAUCACACCAAAGACCAAACCACC